UGGGGAAUAUUGCACAAUGGGCGCAAGCCUGAUGCAGCCAUGCCGCGUGUAUGAAGAAGGCCUUCGGGUUGUAAAGUACUUUCAGCGGGGAGGAAGGGAGUAAAGUUAAUACCUUUGCUCAUUGACGUUACCCGCAGAAGAAGCACCGGCUAACUCCGUGCCAGCAGCCGCGGUAAUACGGAGGGUGCAAGCGUUAAUCGGAAUUACUGGGCGUAAAGCGCACGCAGGCGGUUUGUUAAGUCAGAUGUGAAAUCCUCGGGCUCAACCUGGGAAAUGCAUAUGAUACUGGCAAGCUUGAGUCUCGUAGAGGGGGGUAGAAUUCCAGGUGUAGCGGUGAAAUGCGUAGAGAUCUGGAGGAAUACCGGUGGCGAAGGCGGCCCCCUGGACGAAGACUGACGCUCAGGUGCGAAAGCGUGGGGAGCAAACAGG
rnacentral:rRNA from 1 species